rnacentral:rRNA from 1 species
CCCUUAGAUGUUCUGGGCCGCACGCGCGCUACACUGACGAAUGCAACGAGCUUAUAACCUUGGCCGAAAGGUCUGGGUAAUCUCCAAAUUUCGUCGUGAUGGGGAUAGAUUAUUGCAAUUAUUAAUCUUCAACGAGGAAUGCCUAGUAAGCGCAAGUCAUCAGCUUGCGUCGAUUACGUCCCUGCCCUUUGUACACACCGCCCGUCGCUCCUACCGAUUGGGUGUGCUGGUGAAAUGUUCGGAUCGGCCGUUUGUCGCGGUUUCCGCGUCAUGUGGCUGAGAAGUUCAUUAAACCCUCCCACCUAGAGGAAGGAGAAGUCGUAACA